rnacentral:rRNA from 1 species
GAUGAACGCUGACAGAAUGCUUAACACAUGCAAGUCGACUCGAGUCUUCGGACUUGGGUGGCGCACGGGUGAGUAACGCGUAAAGAACUUGCCUCUUAGACCGGGACAACAUCUGGAAACGACUGCUAAUACCGCAUAAGCCCACGGCCCGGCAUCGGGUUGAGGGAAAAGGAUUUAUUCGCUUCAGGAUGGACUCGCGUCCAAUUAGCUAGUUGGUGAGGUAACGGCCCACCAAGGCGACGAUUGGUAGCCGGACUGAGAGGUUGAACGGCCACAUUGGGACUGAGACACGGCCCAG